rnacentral:rRNA from 1 species
ACGGGAGGCAGCAGUGGGGAAUAUUGCACAAUGGGCGAAAGCCUGAUGCAGCGACGCCGCGUGAGUGAAGAAGUAAUUCGUUAUGUAAAGCUCUAUCAGCAGGGAAGAAAAUGACGGUACCUGACUAAGAAGCACCGGCUAAAUACGUGCCAGCAGCCGCGGUAAUACGUAUGGUGCAAGCGUUAUCCGGAUUUACUGGGUGUAAAGGGAGCGUAGGCGGCAGGGCAAGUCUGAUGUGAAAACCCAGGGCUCAACCUUGGGACUGCAUUGGAAACUGUCCAGCUAGAGUGUCGGAGGGGUAAGCGGAAUUCCUAGUGUAGCGGUGAAAUGCGUAGAUAUUAGGAGGAACACCAGUGGCGAAGGCGGCUUACUGGACGACAACUGACGCUGAGGCUCGAAAGCGUGGGGAGCAAACAGGAUUAGAUACCCUGGUA